rnacentral:rRNA from 1 species
ACACAUGCAAGUCGAACGCCCCGCAAGGGGAGUGGCAGACGGGUGAGUAACGCGUGGGAACAUACCCUUUCCUGCGGAAUAGCUCCGGGAAACUGGAAUUAAUACCGCAUACGCCCUACGGGGGAAAGAUUUAUCGGGGAAGGAUUGGCCCGCGUUGGAUUAGCUAGUUGGUGGGGUAAAGGCCUACCAAGGCGACGAUCCAUAGCUGGUCUGAGAGGAUGAUCAGCCACAUUGGGACUGAGACACGGCCCAAACUCNUACGGGAGGCAGCAGUGGGGAAUAUUGGACAAUGGGCGCAAGCCUGAUCCAGCCAUGCCGCGUGAGUGAUGAAGGCCUUAGGGUUGUAAAACUCUUUCACCGGAGAAGAUAAUGACGGUAUCCGGAGAAGA